rnacentral:rRNA from 2 species
UUUAUUGGAGAGUUUGAUCCUGGCUCAGGAUGAACGCUGGCGGCGUGCCUAAUACAUGCAAGUCGAGCGAAUGGAUUGAGAGCUUGCUCUCAAGAAGUUAGCGGCGGACGGGUGAGUAACACGUGGGUAACCUGCCCAUAAGACUGGGAUAACUCCGGGAAACCGGGGCUAAUACCGGAUAACAUUUUGAACUGCAUGGUUCGAAAUUGAAAGGCGGCUUCGGCUGUCACUUAUGGAUGGACCCGCGUCGCAUUAGCUAGUUGGUGAGGU